rnacentral:lncRNA from 1 species
AUAAGAUGACAGCCUCACUAGAUAUCUUGGGAGAUGGUAGACGGACUGGGUUUAUAGGGAACCCUACCGUGAACGUUGUCUCAUACUGGACGGAGUAUGGAGAUUUUAUUAUUUUGGCGCUCAUACCGGACGGGGUAUGGGGACGGCCCUAGAAUUAAGUUUGUUAAGAGGAAUGAUUCACGUGUAGCGGGGACCCCUAUGGAUCCCCAUAGAUACUGGUAGGCUGAUAAAAAGGGGCAAUUAUUAUUUGAUGAUUUGAAUAUACAAGUAUGAUAUGUGCUAUGUUACAGA